AUUGAACGCUGGCGGCAGGCCUAACACAUGCAAGUCGAACGGUAACAGGGAUCAGCUUGCUGAUUCGCUGACGAGUGGCGGACGGGUGAGUAAUGUCCGGGAAACUGCCUGAUGGAGGGGGAUAACUACUGGAAACGGUAGCUAAUACCGCAUAACGUCGCAAGACCAAAGAGGGGGACCUUCGGGCCUCUUGCCAUCGGAUGUGCCCAGAUGGGAUUAGCUAGUAGGUGGGGUAACGGCUCACCUAGGCGACGAUCCCUAGCUGGUCUGAGAGGAUGACCAGCCACACUGGAACUGAGACACGGUCCAGACUCCUACGGGAGGCAGCAGUGGGGAAUAUUGCACAAUGGGCGCAAGCCUGAUGCAGACAUGCCGCGUGUAUGAAGAAGGCCUUCGGGUUGUAAAGUACUUUCAGCGGGGAGGAAGGGAGUAAAGUUAAUACCUUUGCUCAUUGACGUUACCCGCAGAAGAAGCACCGGCUAACUCCGUG
rnacentral:rRNA from 1 species